GAAAUAGAACCUGAAACCGUGUGCUUACAAGUAGUCAGAGCCCGUUAAUGGGUGAUGGCGUGCCUUUUGUAGAAUGAACCGGCGAGUUACGAUUUGAUGCAAGGUUAAGCAGUAAAUGUGGAGCCGUAGCGAAAGCGAGUCUGAAUAGGGCGUUUAGUAUUUGGUCGUAGACCCGAAACCAGGUGAUCUACCCUUGGUCAGGUUGAAGUUCAGGUAACACUGAAUGGAGGACCGAACCGACUUACGUUGAAAAGUGAGCGGAUGAACUGAGGGUAGCGGAGAAAUUCCAAUCGAACCUGGAGAUAGCUGGUUCUCUCCGAAAUAGCUUUAGGGCUAGCCUCAAGUGAUGAUUAUUGGAGGUAGAGCACUGUUUGGACGAGGGGCCCCUCUCGGGUUACCGAAUUCAGACAAACUCCGAAUGCCAAUUAAUUUAACUU
rnacentral:rRNA from 1 species